GGGCUCACAUUGGCAGCACAUAUACUAAAAUUGGAACGAUACAGAGAAGCUUAGCACAGCCCCUGCACAGGGAUGACACGCAUAAUGUACUAGGUGAAUAUCCUUUGG